CAGUCGCCACGGGAAUACGUAGGGUGCGAGCGUUAAUCGGAAUUACUGGGCGUAAAGCGUGCGCAGGCGGUUCGUUAAGACAGAUGUGAAAUCCCCGGGCUUAACCUGGGAACUGCAUUUGUGACUGGCGAGCUAGAGUAUGGCAGAGGGGGGUAGAAUUCCACGUGUAGCAGUGAAAUGCGUAGAGAUGUGGAGGAAUACCGAUGGCGAAGGCAGCCCCCUGGGCCAAUACUGACGCUCAUGCACGAAAGCGUGGGGAGCAAACAGGAUUAGAUACCCCCGUAGUCCCUGUCUCUUAUAC
rnacentral:rRNA from 1 species